UCAUAUAAAGAAUACAAUUCAGAACAGCCAAAUGGAAGAGAAGCAUAGCGCAAGAUAUAGAAGAAGGGGUGGAGAACUUCCAUGUCCUCUCUAGAAGACACCACCCAAUCCACACCUCAAGGUAUUCGCAAACGUGAAAAAUCUCCUUUAGCAGUCUUUACGGAGGUCUGUUAUGUAGAUACAACAAACAAGAAAAAUCUGAGAAACUGUCACAGCCAAGAUGAAAUAAGGACACAUGAUGACUAAAUGUAUGUGGUAUUCUGGAUGGAAUUCUAGGACAGAGAAGGACAUUAGAUCACGCAUUCUUUCCUAGGAAAAGAACAGAGCUCUUCUGCAUGUCACCAGACCCUGUUGCACCACUCCUGGGCGCCAAGGAACCAGACAGACCCUUUUGCACAACGCCCCUAGGCACCUAGGGAACCAGACCCCCCUUGUACAACCUCCAAGGACCGAGAUGAAAUCUGUAGCUGGCAUCUGUAGUGUGCACCGAGAAAUGUUACAGACUACUGCACUCCCUUAACUGAUUAACUGACCCAAAUCCCUUUAAAAAAUCUCUAGGCUGGGCAGAAACCUCAGAGUCUGCCUUCUCUCCAGGUGGCCAGCCUCCUGAAUAAAGCUCACAU